rnacentral:rRNA from 1 species
UACGUAGGGUGCAAGCGUUAAUCGGAAUUACUGGGCGUAAAGCGUGCGCAGGCGGUUAUGUAAGACAGUUGUGAAAUCCCCGGGCUCAACCUGGGGGCUGCAUUUGAUACGUGCGGACUUUGAGUGGGGAAGAGGGUCGUGGAAUUCCCAGUGUAGAGGUGAAAUUCGUAGAUAUUGGGAAGAACACCGGUGGCGAAGGCGGCGACCUGGUCCGAUACUGACGCUGAGGCGCGAAAGCGUGGGGAGCAAACAGG